AACGCGAAGAACCUUACCAGCCCUUGACAUGGCAGGACGGUUCCCAGAGAUGGGUUCCUUCUCGCAAGAGACUUGCACACAGGUGCUGCAUGGCUGUCGUCAGCUCGUGUCGUGAGAUGUUGGGUUAAGCCCCGCAACGAGCGCAACCCUCGCCCUUAGUUGCCAUCAUUCAGUUGGGCACUCUAGGGGGACUGCCGGUGAUAAGCCGGAGGAAGGUGGGGAUGACGUCAAGUCCUCAUGGCCCUUACGGGCUGGGCUACACACGUGCUACAAUGGCGGUGACAGAGGGAUGCAAUGGAGCAAUCCUGCGCAAAUCUCGAAAAGCCGUCUCAGUUCGGAUUGUGCUCUGCAACUCGAGCACAUGAAGUUGGAAUCGCUAGUAAUCGCAGAUCAGCACGCCGCGGUGAAUACGUUCCCGGGCCUUGUACACACCGACGCGUA
rnacentral:rRNA from 1 species